rnacentral:misc_RNA from 1 species
AGAACCCUGGCACAACGAUCCGACACCGCUGCCAAGCGGAUCAAGUCAUUGAUAGGCGAGUCGGUCUCGCAAGUGGAUGCCGGCCGCAUAUUGGCGGACCAGGCGGGCAGCACCAUGAAGGCGAUCGUUAGUUCUGUGCGCCGAGUGACCGACAUCAUGGGCGAGAUCACAGUCGCAAGCGCCCAGCAGGGCGAGG